GUGCUCACUUCGGCAGCAUAUAUACUAAAAUUGGAACUAUACAAAGAAAAUUAACAUGGCCCCUGCGCAAGGAUGACAUGCAAAUUUGUGAAGUGUUGCAUUUUUUU